AACGAACGCUGGCGGCAUGCCUAACACAUGCAAGUCGAACGAGACCUUCGGGUCUAGUGGCGCACGGGUUCGUAACGCGUGGGAACCUGCCCUUAGGUUCGGAAUAACUCCCCGAAAGGGGUGCUAAUACCGGAUAAUGUCUUCGGACCAAAGAUUUAUCGCCUUUGGAUGGGCCCGCGUUGGAUUAGCUAGUUGGUAGGGUAAAAGCCUACCAAGGCGACGAUCCAUAGCUGGUCUGAGAGGAUGAUCAGCCACACUGGGACUGAGACACGGCCCAGACUCCUACGGGAGGCAGCAGUGGGGAAUAGUGGAAAAUGGGGGAAAGCCUGAUCCAGCAAUGCCGCGUGAGUGAUGAAGGCCUUAGGGUUGUAAAGCUCUUUUAACCGGGAUGAUAAUGACAGUACCGGGAGAAUAAGCUCCGGCUAACUCCGUG
rnacentral:rRNA from 1 species